rnacentral:lncRNA from 1 species
AAGCAAUUACUGCAACUAAAGAAGAAUCAUGUCAAACUUGAUAUAAGUGAACAAUUACUCCAAAUCCAAACCUGGAUAAAGUAAAAUCAUCGUAAGUCAAAGUCAUGGUUAACUUGUCAUUUUUUAUUAAACAAUAUGCAAACAUUCUUCUAAAAAAAAGUAUUAUGACUACAAAAACUAACUAUAAACUUCACCCAAAGUCAAAGAGCACAUGGCAUUUUGUAGUGUAUUUAAUAUAUGUCCAAAGUCAAUUAGUUUCUUAAUGCACACUUAGCAUUGUAUCUUAUGAUAUCAAAGAUCAACUAACAAAAAAUGCGUCCGUGCAAUUCAAAAUUAAAAAGGAAAUUACCAAUCAAUCAACAAAUCAAACCAGAACUCACCUCACAAAAAAUGAACUGAAAACCCAAAGUAAGGGCAGAUUCAAAUAGAACCGACUUUGAUUUUGGAACUCUGUUUGUAUGUACUUUAUAUAGAUGAAUUUGAUCUAAAAUUACAUCAACUUGAAGAUUAUGGAACUUUCAACCAUAAAAUUUGCCCUUGACCACGGAGGGGACCUCGCCAGCAACCUCGAAACUCGGCUGACCUUGGGAUUUUUUUUUGCUAUUUGACAGCUGAUUUUUGCCGCUUUCUUGGCUUGUUUGCUGAUUUUCAGCUUUUCACGCUAGAAAAUAGGCUGGAACUAGGUGGCUUCUUCAGCUACAUUUAAGGCUAAGUUUUGGCGGUUUGUUUUGGAUGGUUUUUCUUUUUUAGCUAGGUUCGAGAGGUUGCUUUGGCAUCAUUUUUGAUUGGAAACGAGGCUAUUUUUUAUCGCAUUUUUUGGGGUGGAGAUGAAGGUCCUUGGGGGGGGGGGGCAGGUAUGGCUUGCAGAAUAGUUGUAUUAGGUGUUGGAGUUCAGGUGGUGUUUCAGUGGUUAGAUCCGGUGGAGAUAGGUGAUUUAAUUGGUAAUCAUGGAGAGAAAUUGAUCGCAUCAAAUCUGAUCUUCUCAAAAAGAAGGGGAAUUGCGGCACCUUUUCUUUUUGUUGAGC